UCCGACAUAGCUCAGUGGUAGAGCGGGUGACUGUUAAUCACUAGGUCCUAGGUUCGAGCCCUAGUGUCGGAGCCA
rnacentral:tRNA from 1 species